UCGGUUUAAAUAACAGGUGAAGAAAGGGCCGGGCAAGACCGGUGCCAGCCGCCGCGGUAAUACCGGCGGCUCGAGUGGUGGCCACUAUUACUGGGCUUAAAGCGUUCGUAGCUGGUUUGUUAAGUCUCUGGGGAAAUCUUCCGGCUUAACCGGAAGGCGUCUCAGGGAUACUGGCAGACUAGGGACCGGGAGAGGUGAGGGGUACUCCAGGGGUAGGAGUGAAAUCCUGUAAUCCUUGGGGGACCACCUGUGGCGAAGGCGCCUCACCAGAACGGCUCCGACAGUGAGGGACGAAAGCUGGGGGAGCAAACCGGAUUAGAUACCCGGGUAGUCCCAGCUGUAAACGAUGUGCGUUAGGUGUAUCAGUGACCACGAGUCACUGAGGUGCCGAAGAGAAAUCGUGAAACGUACCGCCUGGGAAGUACGGUCGCAAGGCUGAAACUUAAAGGAAUUGGCGGGGGAGCACCACAACGGGUGGAGCCUGCGGUUUAAUCGGACUCAACGCCGGGAAACUCACCAGAUAAGACAGCUGAAUGAUUGUCGGGCUGAAGACUCUACAUGACUAGCUGAGAGGAGGUGCAUGGCCGUCGUCAGUUCGUACUGUGAAGCAUCCUGUUAAGUCAGGCAACGAGCGAGACCCACGCCAACAGUUGCCAGCUCGUCCUCCGGGAUGGAGGGGACACUGUUGGGACCGCCUCUGCUAAAGAGGAGGAAGGAAUGGGCAACGGUAGGUCAGCAUGCCCCGAAUUAUCUGGGCUACACGCGGGCUACAAUGGGUGGGACAAUGGGUAUCGACACCGAAAGGUGAAGGCAAUCUCCUAAACCCAUCCUUAGUUCGGAUUGUGGAA
rnacentral:rRNA from 1 species